GAUGAACGCUGGCGGCGUGCCUAAUACAUGCAAGUCGAGCGAACGGACGAGAAGCUUGCUUCUCUGAUGUUAGCGGCGGACGGGUGAGUAACACGUGGAUAACCUACCUAUAAGACUGGGAUAACUUCGGGAAACCGGAGCUAAUACCGGAUAAUAUUUUGAACCGCAUGGUUCAAAAGUGAAAGACGGUCUUGCUGUCACUUAUAGAUGGAUCCGCGCUGCAUUAGCUAGUUGGUAAGGUAACGGCUUACCAAGGCAACGAUGCAUAGCCGACCUGAGAGGGUGAUCGGCCACACUGGAACUGAGACACGGUCCAGACUCCUACGGGAGGCAGCAGUAGGGAAUCUUCGGCAAUGGGCGAAAGCCUGACGGAGCAACGCCGCGUGAGUGAUGAAGGUCUUCGGAUCGUAAAACUCUGUUAGUAGGGAAGAACAUAUGUGUAAGUAACUGUGCACAUCUUGACGGUACCUAAUCAGGAAGCCACGGCUAACUACGUG
rnacentral:rRNA from 1 species